GCUGGGCUCUGCUUUUUAUCUUUAAAUUUCCGCCUGUUAAAGGUAGUACAGAAAAAGAUAAGUAAUUUGGUGCCAAUUAAUUUUCUGAUUGCUUUAAAAGUCGUCACAAGUUCUCAUGUCCUUAAAGUGGUUUCUAGUGGUUCCAAUCAAGUCUCCCAAACAUGUCAGAGGAACGUAUCUUAUAAUUAGAACCUCGUUAACUAACGAGCAGAUCUUAUUUGUCGUUUAAUUUUUAACAGCUUGUUCAUAUUUGGGUUAUUACGAGGGUGCCAUACGUAUAU